GUCGGUCCUGGGGCUCCUCCCCGAACGCGGAGGAGGGAACGCGGCAGCCGGAACGCGGCAGCCCAGAGGCCCAGAAUCUAAGAGGGUCAUGCAGCCCCAUGAGAAAUUCCACUGUGAAGUGCUGUGUGGCAGAAGUAAAGAAAAAAAUCAAGGAUGCAGUUUAUGGCAAGAACAUCAUCAAGAGGCAGGAAUUCACUGUCUGUUCAGGCCGAUGAGACACACAACUGCCAAGGCAAAUAACAGAAUGGGAUGAUGCCACAAGCAAAGCCACCUGGGGAUAUGAUACGAUACGGCAAAUGUUGAAUAAACAGCAUGAAUAAGAAAUACGUAUUCUGCUCUGGCUGGGUAACUCAGGGUGUCGUCCCGGUGCACCGAGGCUGUGGGUUCUGUCCCGGGUCAGGGCACAUACAAGACUGAACCAAUGAGUGCAUGCAUGAGUAGAACAGCAAAUCAACAUUUCUCUCUCUUUAUUUUUCUGUC